GGGCGUUGCCAGAUCCUUAACCCACCAAACAAGGCCAGGGAUUGAACCCUUAUGGAUACUAGUCGGAUUCUGAACCUGCUGAGCCACAAUGGGAACUCCCAAUCUGGUAAACCUUUAACAGGAUAUUUGAAGGUUGGUGUUCUGGUCAGCUUACUCACUGUGCCCUAUUAGGGGCAGUUUCCUUUGAGUCUGUCACCUCUUUGAAGGCUGAGCUCACAGUGCUGAUCCCAUUGUCCCUUCUGCUGCACUUUAUGAGCUAUGUUCCACAGAUGUCAUAUUUAUUUUUUCUUCUUUUUCCUUCCUUUUCUUUUUGGCUGUGCUCGCAGCAUAUGGAAUUACCUGGUACAGGGAUCGAACCCACGCCACCGCAGCAACCUGAGAAGCAAGAGUGACAACGCCUGGUCCUUAACCCCUAGAGGCUGAGCCGCAGAGGAACUUCCUGCAGGCAUCAUCUUAUUUGACUCUUCACAACACUCUUAAGAUAUAAAUUGGUUAGAGGGCUUUAACCUCUACUUUUUCUAGUUAAAAAUAGGCACUCAAUGUCAAAAAGCUUUUAGGCAGUCAAGCCAGGAUUUGAAUCCAGAAUUUGUUAACUCAUAUUCGGGAUUUUUCCUCCUGUGAAACAUCCAGUUCUGAACAGAGUGUAUUGUGUCUAUAGUUGUCACAGACAUUUGAAUAAAAGCCCCCUGGAUAUUGAUCACUUCCUGCGUGGUGAGGAUCUGGACUGGAAUGUACACUGGAAGCUGAUUUGUACUUUAUUCCUGUUAGGAAAACACAUUUUCUUAGGUGGAAUGUAGAAAAAAUGCCAGGGUUUUAUCAUGUCUGUCUCAAAGUGAGAUGUACUUGGGCACAAGCAGGAGUGUCUUGCUGAGGUGUGAAAGAUAUUUGUUUGCACUCAGAUAUCUGACUAGAAGCUUGUAACCCAGUGCUGAAGCUGUCUGUGCUGCAGGGCCAGUUGCUGUGGACUGCUACUUUUAUAAAAUGCAGUAAGAAUGAAUUUCUAGAAAAAUGAAAUAAAAGGGCACAAAGGCAUGAGGUUUUUUAUUAUAUAUGUAACAUAUAAAAAGUCUCCUGUCGAACGGCUGUUAAAGUUACUAAAUGCUUGUUCUGUGCUUUGUCAUGGACCAGUAGCAUAGAGUUGGCAGAUGGGCAAGACCUGCAGACCACUUUUGGAGCAGCUCUGCUGUAGCCACGUGAUAACAUGGCUAUGCGUCAUGGGGGUGGCUGGUCUUACUUUGGAGGCGCCCUUUAAUCUUGCUGGUUUGCAGAGGUUGACACUGAGAAGUGGGCUUCUGUCUAGAGGAUUCCCUGACUAGAAGCAACAGUUAUAAGACUUCAGCUCAGCCCCCUCCCCCUGCACUAAAUUCCGUGCAUGUGUGGUGCAGUCCCCUGUAGCAUGCUACUUGCAUUUCAGUCCUGCCUCUCUCUGGCCAGUGCUCUCAGGAUGGGUUGCCUGUGACUUUCGUUGCAGGGGAAAUUCUGUCACAAGGUAGGCUAAGGAAAGUGGAGGCACAGGGAUGGUGGCGUUGAGAAGGAGAUGGUUUGAUGCUUGGGGGUCUGACGUGGUCUUGUGUAAUCUCUAUAGUAAGGCUCUGCUGGGCGUGUUCCAUGGGCCACUGCUGCUGCUGUCUCUGUUCAACCAAUCAGAAAAUCUUAAAAUCUCCAGGACUGAGUUUGUUGCCUUAUUUAGUCCACAGGCCAUCAUCAAGGCCAGUUGCCAAAGCUCUUUGCCAAAAAGAGACAAGUUAGGAAACAUUCAUGACAAUUAUUGCUAGGAACCAAUAAUGCAGUAUUAGCAAAUACACCUUCCUGAUACUGUUAAGCACUUAUCAUACUCAGCACUUUAUCUUCACAACCAUCGUUUGAAGGAGGUAGCCUCUUUCCCACUUUACAGAUGUUGAAACGGGUUAAGCAAGUUGGCCAAAUUUACAUAAUUUACAGGCACCAGAACCAAGAAUUGAAAUUGUUUCAUGAGUCCAAAGCACGGAUUCUUUUCCCAUGUUAAAGAAAGGAAAAAAAGUGAGCAUUUAUCAAGGCCCUACUUUGUCAUGUAGUCUGUUGGGAGCUCAGUUCUGUGCCCACCAAAUUCAUAGGCUGAAGCCCUAAUCACCAGUACCUUAGAAUGUGACUAUAUAAAGUCUUUAAUGAGGUCUUUGGGGGCACACUCUAAUCCAAUAUGACCGAGGUCCUUUAAGAAGAGGAAAUUUGGGUACCAGGCCUGCAUGUGCACAGAAGAGGCCAUGUGCAAGAAGCACGCCCUCUGCUGGCCAAUGGGAGGAGGCCUCAGAGGAAACCACACCUGCUGACACCUUGACCUUGGCCUUCCAGACUUCAGAACUGUCCUUUAAGCCACUCAGUCUGUGGUAUUUAGUUACAGCAGCCCCAACAAAGUGAGUCUUCCAUAAGCCAGCCAGGUGGGUGGAAUUUUCUUAUGACUCAAGCUUAAUAAGUUGCCUGCAGUCACAUGAUCCAGAGCCCACAGUCUUCCACUGAGUUGCCGCUCCUCUGACCCUAGUCUGUGCUUUAUACACUGCAAAGCACUGUAGAGAAACCAGAAAUGAAACUGUCAAACACGGGCUUGCACGCUUGCAGUUCUGAAGCACUGCACAUCGAUCGCCAGCCUCACAGCGGUUCAAACAAAAGGGACUAAAGCACUGAAGGUGCUUUGCCAGAACACAAAAAACGGCCAUGUGUUUACAGCACAAAUGAUUGUAAGUCGAGUGCAUCUGGGAACAAAGAAGCAAGGAUUUGGAGCGUUCGAGAAAGACGGACGCGUUGGAGACAGUUCCUGGGUGCAGGGGAAGGGUCCUGCCUGGGUGCUUGCGUCAGGCCGAACCAGGAAUGAGUGCGGGAGGAGGAAAAGCAGCUGCAGCCCAAUUACUCAGUAGCUCAGGUGCCUCAGGAGGAUUCUGGCUUCUGGUUUACCGAAACAGAUCUACUUUCUGAGAGAUCUUGGGGGACCGCUCCACAGAAGUGCAGGCUCUGGCAACUUCCUCCUUUAUUGCUGUUGAUAUCUGGUAUUUUGAAGAUCCCGCCAUGCUCUGGCCAUCAUGGGCAAGGAGUCCUAUGAAGAGUGGUUUCACUGGAAAGGUACUUGUUUACCCGGUGGGGGCAGGGGACCACAAAGGCUCAUCUGGUCAAAAUACCGGUGUACGGGGGGCAAGGGCAUGAGAUUCAAAAACCAAGUCUGUCCCCACUCCUUGUGUGGCCUUGGGGAUUAGGGUACUCAACCUCUGAAAUUCUGUUUCCUCACUAGCAAAUUGGGGAUGAUAAAAACUACUUCAGGAGUUCCCGUCAUGGGCAGUGGUUAACGAAUCCGACUAGGAACCAUGAGGU